rnacentral:rRNA from 1 species
GAUGAACGCUAGCUACAGGCUUAACACAUGCAAGUCGAGGGGUAACGAGAGGAAAGCUUGCUUUCCUUGUCGACGACCGGCGCACGGGUGAGUAACGCGUAUCCAACCUGCCCCCAACUAGGGAAUAACCUUGCGAAAGUAAGACUAAUACCCUAUAAUUUCCUCAGAUGUCAUCUGACGAGGAAUAAAGAUUUAUCGGUUGUAGAUGGGGAUGCGUCUGAUUAGCUUGUUGGCGGGGUAACGGCCCACCAAGGCAACGAUCAGUAGGGGUUCUUAGAGGAAGGUCCCCCACAUUGGAACUGAGACACGGUCCAAACUCCUACGGGAGGCAGCAGUGAGGAAUAUUGGUCAAUGGGCGGAAGCCUGAACCAGCCAAGUAGCGUGCAGGAUGACGGCCCUAUGGGUUGUAAACUGCUUUUAUACAGGAAUAAAGUUAGCCACGUGUGGUUAUUUGUAGGUACUGUAUGAAUAAGGACCGGCUAAUUCCGUGCCAGCAGCCGCGGUAA